AUUGAACGCUGGCGGCAUGCUUUACACAUGCAAGUCGAACGGUAACAGGCCUUCUGGUGCUGACGAGUGGCGCACGGGUGAGUAAUGCAUCGGAACGUACCCAGAGGUGGGGGAUAACGCAGCGAAAGCUGUGCUAAUACCGCAUGUGAUCUGAGGAUGAAAGCGGGGGACCGAGCAGCAAUGUUUGGCCUCGCGCCUUUGGAGCGGCCGAUGUCGGAUUAGCUAGUUGGUGGGGUAAAGGCCUACCAAGGCGACGAUCCGUAGCUGGUCUGAGAGGACGACCAGCCACACUGGAACUGAGACACGGCCCAGACUCCUACGGGAGGCAGCAGUGGGGAAUUUUGGACAAUGGGCGCAAGCCUGAUCCAGCAAUGCCGCGUGCGGGAAGAAGGCCUUCGGGUUGUAAACCGCUUUUGGCAGGAACGAAACGGUGUCCGCUAAUACCGGGCGCUAAUGACGGUACCUGCAGAAUAAGCACCGGCUAACUACGUG
rnacentral:rRNA from 1 species